GACGAACCGUGCGAACGUUGUUCGGAAUCACUGGGCUUAAAGGGCGCGUAGGCGGGUUGUCAAGUCCGGGGGUGAAAGCCCCCAGCUCAACUGGGGAAGUGCCUUGGAUACUGGGAACCUCGAGGGAGGUAGGGGCGUGCGGAACUUCCGGUGGAGCGGUGAAAUGCGUAGAUAUCGGAAGGAACACCGGUGGCGAAAGCGGCGCGCUGGACCUCUUCUGACGCUGAGGCGCGAAAGCCAGGGGAGCAAAGCGGG
rnacentral:rRNA from 1 species